CCCACUAAACUGCUGAAUUUAAAUUAAAACUGCAGUGAACUUAUAAAAUUAACAAAAAUAAUCACAAAUUAACGAAAUAUAUUGCAAAUGUAGCUUAUAUUAAAUCGCCACCCGAUUGCUCUCUCCUCCGCAGCGGUUUCAGUGACUACAAUGAGCUUUACAUGGCGCUUGCCGUAUUUAUCAACAAACAGUGACGUAUAAUUAUAAAGUAUAUAUAUUAAGUAUACUUUAUAACUAUACGUCAGUCGAUAGUGCAAUCUGAUGGCGAUUUAAUAUAAGCUACAUUUGCAAUAUAUUUCGCUAAUUUGCGAUUAUUUUCUAAUUUUACUGCAGUUUUAAUUUAAAUUCAGCCGUUU